rnacentral:rRNA from 1 species
AUUGAACGCUGGCGGCGUGCCUAACACAUGCAAGUCGAGCGGAGCGGCGGACGGGUGGGUAGUGCCUGGGAAUCUGCCUGGUAGUGGGGGAUAACGUCCGGAAACGGGCGCUCAUACCGCAUACUAUCAGAUGAGCCUAGGUCGGCUUAGCUAGUUGGUGGGGUAACGGCCUACCAAGGCGACGAUCCGUAACUGGGCUGAGAGGAUGAUCAGUCACAUUGGAACUGAGACACGGCCCAUACUCCUACGGGAGGCAGCAGUGGGGAAUAUUGGACAAUGGGCGAAAGCCUGAUCCAGCCAUGCCGCGUGUGUGAAGAAGGUUUUCGGAUUGUAAAGCACUUUAAGUUGGGAGGCGGUACCAACAGAAUAAGCACCGGCUAACUACGUGCCAGCAGCCGCGGUAAUUC